CGGCCAACCAUGUUGAAUAUACCGGUUCUCGUUAGAUCACCGAAGUCAAGCAUCAUUGGGCGCGGUCAGUACUUGGGUGGGUGACCACCUGAGCACUUCGUGCA
rnacentral:rRNA from 1 species